GGGGGGGGGGGGGGGGGGGGGUGGGGGGGGGGGGGCGGACGGCGGCGCGGGGAGGGCGGGCUCUUGCGGGGGGCGAGGGGCGGGCGGGUGCGGGGUACAUCGGGCUCUGCUUUUUCGGGGGGGGGGACGGCGGGCAGCUUACGCUAAUACCGCAUACCACCUCCGGGUGAAAGCAGGGGAUCUUCGGACCUUGCGCGAUUGCAGGCGCCGAUGUCGGAUUCGCUCGGUGGCGGGGUACAGGCCCACCAAGGCGACGAUCCGUAGCUGGUCUGAGAGGAUGAUCAGCCACACUGGACCUGAGACACGAUCCAGACUCCUACGGGAGGCAGCAGUGGGGAAUAUUGGACAAUGGGCGCAAGCCUGAUCCAGCCAUACCGCGUGGGUGAAGAAGGCCUUCGGGUUGUAAAGCCCUUUUGUUGGGAAAGAAAAGCAGCAGGUUAAUACCCCGCUGUUCUGACGGUACCCAAAGAAUAAGCACCGGCUAACUUCGU
rnacentral:rRNA from 1 species